rnacentral:ribozyme from 1 species
AAGUUAAGAAAAGCUGAAAGAACCGAUCAACAUAUCCAAAUAAGAUUUUUUUUUUUUUUUUUUUUUUUUUUUUUUUUUUU